UUCAAAGGAUUGUUGAAGCUAAAUGGGUUAAACCAUGAUACUAGUGCCUGGUGUGUAACUGGAGUUUAAUAAAUAGGUAUUGAGUGGAUGAGUGUUUCAGAAGGAGCAAAAUCAGAGGUGUUUUUUUUUUUUUUUGCAUGUGAAAUGACAAAACCUUAGAUAAGAAAGUCCUGGCUUUGUUCUAGCUACUUCUCAAUAUAGUCCAUUAAAGGGGGUGAGGGGAGAGUUAGUGGAAGAAAUAAAUUUAAAACCCAUGAAAAAUUAUUUCCUUUCUCUGCUCUUUGAUAUUCUUCCAGGCCCAGUAUAAAUGCCACCUCCUCAGGGGAGCCUUCCCUGGUUGCCACCCUUUCCAACUACCCUCAGGCAUGGCUUUCUCUUCUUUUCCCAGGCAGCAUACAGCUUGUGGGCUUAAUGGUAGCACUUACUAAAUUCUGCUUUAUUUUAGCUGCAUUCACAGCCUUCUCCUCUUACUGAACAGGAAGCUUCCCCCUGAGGCAGACACACAUGGGAGCUUUGGGUUGGGUCUGGGUCCCGGCCUCCUACUACUCACCAGCUGGGCUAGUCUCACAGAGAAGAGACCCAGGCCCACCUGUCAGGAGCUCUCAGCUUGGCCCAGUGCCUUCAGCCCAAGGUUCACAGCCAAACUGUCUCUACCUUCUUGAGCCGCAUUUUCGACCCAGAGCCAUUUGUCCUCCAGGGCACCCUCCGCCGUGUCUGGGGACUUGUUUGAUCAUCACGAUUUGGGGAUCCAUGCUGGUGGGCAGAGAGGUCAGGGAUGUUGCUAAACACCCCACAAUGCCCAGGAUACCCUGCCACAAAGUUGUUCAGCUCAGACGUCAGUAGUGCUAUGGCGGGGAAACCGUCCUCCGGCCAGAAUUUCAGCUGAACCACCCUGCCUCAGUACCACACCGGGUCCCAUAUGCAUCUUCUUCCACCUGUGUUACAGCAGCAUCCUCCUAUGGGUCUCCUCGUCUACCCUGGUCCUCCUUCCGACUUGACUCCACAUAAGCAGCCAGGGGCAGCUUUCUAAAAAUUCAGGCCAUCCCCCCACCUUAAAACCAUCCCGUGGUUUUCCACAGCCCUUAGAAUGAAGCUCAGACUCCUCUCCUGGCCAGUGAGGUCCCUGAUGGUCUUUGCUGCCCCUCACCCGUCUCCCUGUCUCUCUGUAACAGGCUGCACUGGCCACAUCUCUUGUCCUCCGAGGUACCAGGUCUUGGCUGUCUGCCAGGGGUGCUCCCCCAGGCGUUCUGUGGGUGCCUUCUCAUCACUUGGGUUUCUGCCCACAUCUGCACCCACUUCAAAGAGUCGGGCGGGGCUGCCGGAGGGCUGUGUAGUUGAAGGCGGGUUUGGUUCCUGUGAUUUUGUGAUUCAGCGUGUGUUCACUUCUCUGCUCUGGGGCAGUGAGGACUAGGGUGUGUGAGGCUGCUUUUCGUCAUAACAGCUACAGAACUAGAGCAAGUCAGCUGUUCUCAGCAUCUGGAAGCUUGCCUGCAUCCUCUGAUUUAUGUGUUGAACAGCGGCUGACUUCUUCCUGCUCCCUUCCUAACUGGAGUGGAUGAGGAGGAAAUGGGACCCAGAACCCCAGGGAGCUCUCCUCUGCUUGUUAACUCGCAGCCUGCAGCUUACACAGCUCACACUCCUGGCACGGCCUUCAGGGGCCACCGCUGUCUGGGGCUCAGCCCAGUGAAAGCGCUGAGUCCCAGCUGCUGGACCCCUAAGCACAUCCCUGGAUGGUCUGCCUUUUUGAAGUGUUGACCUGAAAACGAAACUUCUGUGAAUAGAAAGUGAAAGCUCUGGGACCCACUUCCUCGGUGAAUGUUUGCUGAGCCCCGGCUGUGUUCUAGGAGAGGAGGAGACUUGUUCACAGCCCAGGGUGGAGGGUAAACACAUGUGCUCUGGCACCGCAACAUGGCCCAGCAGCUGCUCAGGGUCACAGCAGACGUACCAGCUCAGGAAACCAGAACUGAGCCACCUUCACUCACCGGCGGGUGACCUCAGGCAGCAGUUCAAGGGCUCUGGCCUGGAGUUCCUCCCUCCUUGCGUACUGGGGCCAGCCCACCCAGCCCCAGGGAAGCUAUGGGGAUCAAACCAGACAAUAAUAAAAGUGAAGCAUCUAUUCAGAC